rnacentral:rRNA from 1 species
UGGGGAAUAUUGGACAAUGGGCGAAAGCCUGAUCCAGCAACGCCGCGUGAGGGAUGACGGCCUUCGGGUUGUAAACCUCUUUCAGCGCAGACGAAGCGAAAGUGACGGUAUGCGCAGAAGAAGCACCGGCCAACUACGUGCCAGCAGCCGCGGUAAUACGUAGGGUGCGAGCGUUGUCCGGAAUUAUUGGGCGUAAAGGGCUCGUAGGCGGGCUGUUGCGUCAGGAGUGAAAACUCGGGGCUUAACCCCGAGCCUGCUUCUGAUACGGGCAGACUAGAGGUAUGCAGGGGAGAACGGAAUUCCUGGUGUAGCGGUGAAAUGCGCAGAUAUCAGGAGGAACACCGGUGGCGAAGGCGGUUCUCUGGGCAUUACCUGACGCUGAGGAGCGAAAGUGUGGGGAGCGAACA